rnacentral:rRNA from 1 species
CAGCGCCACAAGUGGCAUCCACAUUUAUUGGGCCUAAAGCGUCCGUAGCCGGAUUGGAAAAUCUUUUGUGAAAUCAUGGGGCUUAACUCCAUGCCGUGCAGGAGACACUAUCAAUCUAGGGACCGGGAGGAGUCAGAAGUAUUCUGGGGGGAGCGGUAAAAUGUUAUAAUCCCCGGAGGACUCCCUGUGGCGAAGGCGUCUGACUAGAACGGAUCCGACGGUGAGGGACGAAAGCUGGGGGAGCAAACCGGAUUAGAUACCCGAGUAGUCC